AUUGAACGCUGGCGGCAGGCCUAACACAUGCAAGUCGAGCGGAUGAAGGGAGCUUGCUCCUGGAUUCAGCGGCGGACGGGUGAGUAAUGCCUAGGAAUCUGCCUGGUAGUGGGGGAUAACGUCCGGAAACGGGCGCUAAUACCGCAUACGUCCUGAGGGAGAAAGUGGGGGAUCUUCGGACCUCACGCUAUCAGAUGAGCCUAGGUCGGAUUAGCUAGUUGGUGGGGUAAAGGCCUACCAAGCCGACGAUCCGUAGCUGGACUGAGAGGAUGAUCAGUCACACGGGAACUGAGACACGGUCCAGACGCCUACGGGAGGCAGCAGUGGGGAAUAUUGGACAAUGGGCGAAAGCCUGAUCCAGCCAGGCCGCGUGUGUGAAGAAGGUCUUCGGAUUGUAAAGCACUUUAAGGUGGGAGGAAGGGCAGUAAGUUAAUACCUUGCUGUUUUGACGUUACCAACAGAAUAAGCACCGGCUAACUUCGUG
rnacentral:rRNA from 1 species